CUAGUACUCCCUCCGUCCGGAAAUAUUUGUCCUUAAAAUGGUUAUAUCUAGAAUUUUUGUAGUUAUAGAUACAUUCAUUUUAUCUAUUUUUAGGACAAGUAUUUCCGGAUGGAGGGAGUAUCAU
rfam:Triticum aestivum genome assembly, contig: Triticum_aestivum_CS42_TGACv1_scaffold_194926_3AL